AACUCAAGAAGAUAUCAAAGGAAUUCCAAAUUCUGACUCUCCCAUUAAUUGGCUUUCUCACUGACUGUCGUUGGCUGCUCAGGAGACAGGGAUGAGGGAGUGGGGUGCCUGCAAGAAGCAGCAGGGCAGUGGAAGGAAUCCUGGCCUCAAAGCUUGCUCUGGUGCCUGGCAGACGAACUAGCUCAGCCUUGCCACACUUUCCACCAGUUAUGCACAAGGGUCUCGGGGGAAAAAGCCUGAGAGAGCUGGAGGUGGAGACUGUUGUGCACUGUGCUAGGGGCUGGCUGGCACCAACAGUUCCAGACAGUGACCAGGAGAGGGCGCCAGGGAAAGGUGUGUAAUAAACGGGGAAAUAAAGGAAUUUCAGAA